GGCGAGUGGAGGGAGCCGGUGAGUGGGGAGGAAUGGACGCGGCGGAGAUGGCGGGGAUCUUCAUAAACACCAGUAGAGGUCUGAAACCGUGAAUAAGAAGCUACCGGUCCUGCGGUUGCAUCGAACGAGGCGGCGACAGGGUAUUAGAGGCAGAGGAUUGACGGACGGGAAUAUCAAACCAAACAUCACAUCAAGAUAUGACAGAGUCAUUUGAUUCGUCAGGACCUGAAGAUCAUCAAACUUUUAACGUGGAAGGGUAUUAGAAGGGGAGGAUUUGCAGUCAGGCAACUCAAACUAAACAUCACAUCAGAAUCUGACAGAGUCACCCAAUUUAUCGUAACCUCAAUAUCACUGAAUUUUGAACAUGGAAGGAAAAAACACCGCUCACAGUGAGGAGAAACUGUACUCGUGUUCUGUGUGUGGACAAGGUUUCAACCAAUCUUCUGGCCUGUCAGAACAUAAAUGCCAUCACAACAGGAUAAAACCAUGGCAAUGUGGAAAGGGAUUCAAAUCCUCGUCUCACCUGGAACGUCAUUGCCGCACUCACACUGGGGAGAAAACAUUCAUCUGCUCCAAGUGUGGGAAGGGAUUCACGAGUUCAUCCUAUCUGCUGAUACAUCAGCGAGUUCACACUGGGGAGAGGCCAUUCACCUGCUCUAAGUGUGGGAAGGGAUUCCUUCAGUCAUCCAACCUGCGGACCCACCAGCGAGUUCACACUGACGAGAGACCUUUUAAAUGUCCGGACUGCGGGAAGUACUAUAGAGGUUCCACGGAACUGAUGCGCCAUCAACGUGUUCACACUGACGAGAGACCAUUCAGGUGCUCUCUCUGCGGGACUGGAUUCAGGUGGUUGUCUCAACUCACUGUACACAAGAACAGCCACACUGGGGACAGGCCGUUCACCUGCUCUGUGUGUGGGAAAGGAUUCACUCAGUCAUCCAACCUGUUGAGACACCA